AUUGAACGCUGGCGGCAGGCCUAACACAUGCAAGUCGAGCGGGGUUUUCGGACCUAGCGGCGGACGGGUGAGUAAUGCGUAGGAAGCUACCCGAUAGAGGGGGAUACCAGUUGGAAACGACUGUUAAUACCGCAUAAUGUCUACGGACCAAAGUGUGGGACCUUCGGGCCACAUGCUAUCGGAUGCGCCUACGUGGGAUUAGCUAGUUGGUGAGGUAAUGGCUCACCAAGGCGACGAUCCCUAGCUGGUUUGAGAGGAUGAUCAGCCACACUGGAACUGAGACACGGUCCAGACUCGUACGGGAGGCAGCAGUGGGGAAUAUUGGACAAUGGGCGCAAGCCUGCUCCAGCCAUGCCGCGUGUGUGAAGAAGGCCUUCGGGUUGUAAAGCACUUUCAGUAGGGAGGAAGCGUUGUGUGUUAAUAGUACACAGCGUUGACGUUACCUACAGAAGAAGCACCGGCUAACUCUGUGCCAGCCGCCGCCGUAAAAC
rnacentral:rRNA from 1 species